rnacentral:rRNA from 1 species
CUACAGGCUUAACACAUGCAAGUCGAGGGGUAGCAGGGUAGCAAUACCGCUGACGACCGGCGCACGGGUGAGUAACACGUAUCCAACCUUCCCAUAACUCGGGGAUAGCCUUUCGAAAGAAAGAUUAAUACCCGAUAGUACUUUUUCAAGGCAUCUUGAGAAAGUUAAAGAUUUAUUGGUUAUGGAUGGGGAUGCGUUCCAUUAGAUAGUUGGUGAGGUAACGGCUCACCAAGUCUUCGAUGGAUAGGGGUUCUGAGAGGAAGGUCCCCCACAUUGGUACUGAGACACGGACCAAACUCCUACGGGAGGCAGCAGUGAGGAAUAUUGGUCAAUGGGCGAGAGCCUGAACCAGCCAAGUAGCGUGAAGGAUGACGG